GCACAUUCCUAUACAUAAUAGGACGUCUUCGGUCCAGUGUUGGUGAAGAUCAGCUAUCCAUGCACUUCUCUUGAGGUUUCAGAUUUGAGGCCAAGCUCAAAGUCU